rnacentral:ncRNA from 1 species
AAGAACACUCUUAGUAUUUCAGCUCUGUCCACUCAGUCCCUCGCUCCAGAGACUUUUCUCGGGGCAGCAGAGCUGCCAAAGCGUAGGUGUCCUAAGGCAAGCUUAGGGAGGACAGAAACUUCCCUACAGAGAAGAAGGGCAAAAAGCUUGCCUGAUCUUGACUCUCAGUACAAACACAGACCGUGAAUGCAGGGCCUCGUGAUCCUUCUGGCUUUUUGGGUCUUAAGCAGGAGGUGUCAGAAAAGUUAUCACAGGAUAACUGGCUUGUGGGGGCCAAGCAUUCAUAGAGACGUCACUUUUUGAACCUUCGAUAUCAGCUCUUCCUACCACUGUGAAACAGAAUUCACCAAGCAUUGGAUGGUUCACACACUAACAGGAAACGUGAGCUGGGUUUAGAGUGUUGUGAGACAGGCUCAUUUUAC